UCUGGUGAUUAAGGCGAAGAGGUCACACCCGUUCCCAUGCCGAACACGGAAGUUAAGCUCUUCAGCGCCGAUGGUAGUUGGGGGUUUCCCCC
rnacentral:rRNA from 1 species